rnacentral:rRNA from 1 species
AUAUCAAUAAGCGGAGGAAAAGAAACCAACAGGGAUUGCCCUAGUAACGGCGAGGAAGCGGCAACAGCUCAAAUUUGAAAUCUGGCUCUUUCAGGGUCCGAGUUGUAAUUUGUAGAGGGUGCUUUGGAGUUGACUGUGGUCUAAGUUCCUUGGAACAGGACGUCGCAGAGGGUGAGAAUCCCGUAUGUGGCCGCCAGUCUUCUCCGUGUAAAGCCCCUUCGACGAGUCGAGUUGUUUGGGAAUGCAGCUCUAAAUGGGAGGUAAAUUUCUUCUAAAGCUAAAUAUUGGCCAGAGACCGAUAGCGCACAAGUAGAGUGAUCGAAAGAUGAAAAGCACUUUGGAAAGAGAGUCAAAAAGCACGUGAAAUUGUUGAAAGGGAAGCGCUUGCAGCCAGACUUGCCUGUAGUUGCUCAUCCGGGCUUUUGCCCGGUGCACUCUUCUAUAGGCAGGCCAGCAUCAGUCGCGGCGGUUGGAUAAAUGUCUGCACAAUGUACCUCUCUUCGGGGAGGACUUAUAGGGCAGGCGGCAUACAACCAGCUGCGAUUGAGGUCCGCGCAUCUGCUAGGAUGCUGGCGUAAUGGCUGUAAGCGGCCCGUCUUGAAACACGGACCAAGGAGUCUAACAUCUAUGCGAGUGUUUGGGUGUCAAGCCCGAGCGCGUAAUGAAAGUGAACGGAGGUGGGAACCCCUCGGGGUGCACCAUCGACCGAUCCUGAUGUCUUCGGAUGGAUUUGAGUAAGAGCAUAGCUGUUGGGACCCGAAAGAUGGUGAACUAUGCCUGAAUAGGGUGAAGCCAGAGGAAACUCUGGUGGAGGCUCGCAGCGGUUCUGACGUGCAAAUCGAUCGUCAAAUUUGGGCAUAGGGGCGAAAGACUAAUCGAACUAUCUAGUAGCUGGUUCCUGCCGAAGUUUCCCUCAGGAUAGCAGUAACGUUUUCA